rnacentral:rRNA from 1 species
CGGCGGACGGGUGAGUAAUGCCUGGGAAUAUGCCUUAGUGUGGGGGAUAACUAUUGGAAACGAUAGCUAAUACCGCAUAAUGCCUACGGGCCAAAGAGGGGGACCUUCGGGCCUCUCGCGCUAAGAUUAGCCCAGGUGGGAUUAGCUAGUUGGUGGGGUAAAGGCUCACCAAGGCGACGAUCCCUAGCUGGUCUGAGAGGAUGAUCAGCCACACUGGAACUGAGACACGGUCCAG